GGAUCAGCAGUUUUGGCUACCCUAUAGAGGCAUGUGCGAAGCAUCACAUCACAAGCUGGGUAUGCAACUCUGUCCUGAUGUACUUUUCUUCUACAAGUUUGGGCAUAUUCUAGAUCCCCAAACUCACAAAGAAUUCACAUUUCCAUUCGCAACAAAAUGGACAGGACGUGGUGCAAAUUACUAUAAAAAUCCAAGGCAUUCCGUCCAGAGCUUCCGGCUACUUCUUGACCACAUCCAACAUGAUCAAUUUGUAUGGAAACCAUACCGUUAACUUAAGUAUGACACUCCAGAGGACUUUUGGUUAUGGACUGCAACCACAUAUCUUAUCUGUUUUGACAAAGUAGAAUGACAUUCAACAGAUAGGGUCAAACUCCAGUUUGGUUUGCCCCAAGAUAUACCAGCUCCCCCUAGGGACAUGCGAUCGUACCACCAUGUAGACAAGCGAACUAAGCAAUGGAACGUCUCAUAUCAAUCAUUAUGGCCAGAUGAGUACGAACAUUGCUUGAAUCGACUUCAAUUGGUUUUAGAUGGCAUGCCGCACCCCACGUGGAGAAGACCAACCGCCGAAUAUAUUCAAUGGUUUAAAACCAUAUGCAAUCCAAAUGUGCAUAUUUGUGAACAUCAUUGCCCUAGAGAAACACAGCUAACCACAACCACCGUAUAAUGAGCUGAGGAAUGUUGAUUGGGAAAAUCUCUAGUUAAAGGAUCAAAUUUAGAAUUCCUCUAUAUCUUUCGCACACUUGGCUGAAAACUGAGAAAUCCUAUGUUUUUGUUAAAUUUGUGUUGUAUACUCAUCUUCUUAUAAUGGAUGCCAUUAGUCUCAAAAGAAAUAUGAUUACAGUUAGAAACAUGAAUAUCAACAAUUAGAUUAGAUUGGUGUAAUGUUGUCUCUUGUGUAUAUGGCAUGA